rnacentral:rRNA from 1 species
GCACAAGCAGUGGAGUAUGUGGUUUAAUUCGAAGCAACGCGAAGAACCUUACCAGGUCUUGACAUCCGAUGCAUAACACAGAGAUGUGUGAAAUCCUUCGGGACAUCGAGACAGGUGGUGCAUGGUUGUCGUCAGCUCGUGUCGUGAGAUGUUGGGUUAAGUCCCGCAACGAGCGCAACCCUUAUUGCCAGUUACUACGUUAAGAGGACUCUGGCGAGACUGCCGUUGAUAAAA